rnacentral:lncRNA from 1 species
ACAAGUCCACAAGUCCCAAGUUUGCAAGGUCACAAAACAUUACGGAGCAAGUACAAUAAGAAACAUUCAUAGCAUUCAUGGUACAUUAUCAUCAUCUAGAUCUUCAUCAACAAGCUUACAACGAUGCCUCAGGUCCAUCAUCAUGAUCAUCAUCUAGGUCUUCAUCCUGCAUUUUGAUAAAUAAAUAUACAAUUAAAUCAUAGCUAAUGUUUUAUGCACCAAAAUAGAAUAGAAAAUGAAGGUAAAUUAACCUCAAAUGAAAGAUUUCUUGCAAGAGCCUCAAGUUCAUCCAUUUCAUAAACCAUAUUAGGAAUAGCAACACUCUUAGCCUUG